UGGGAUAAUUUCAUGUUGUCA
rnacentral:siRNA from 1 species